GAGUCCUGGUGAUUCAUAGUAACCGAACGGAUCGCAGUUGGCUUCGGCCCGCGAUGGAUCUUUCAAGUUUCUGACCUAUCAGCUUUCGACGGUAGGGUAUUGGCCUACCGUGGCAGUGACGGGUAACGGGGAAUUAGGGUUCGAUUCCGGAGAGGGAGCCUGAGAAACGGCUACCACAUCUAAGGAAGGCAGCAGGCGCGCAAAUUACCCAAUGAAAACAGUUUCGAGGUAGUGACGAGAAAUAACAAUACAGGGCAUUUUAUGCUCUGUAAUUGGAAUGAUGGGAAUGUAAAACCCUUUCAGAGUAACAAUUGGAGGGCAAGUCUGGUGCCAGCAGCCGCGGUAAUUCCAGCUCCAAUAGUGUAUAUUAGAGUUGUUGCAGUUAAAAAGCUCGUAGUUGGAUUUCUGUCGUGGUCAUCCGGUUCCGCCCGUAUGGGUGCGCACCUGGUUUGCCCUCGACUUUCUUCCGGUAGCCUUCCGCGCUUCACUGCGUGUGUUGGUGUUCCGGAACUUUUUACUUUUGAGAAAAAUAGAGUGUUUCAAGCAGGCUUGUUGCCCUGAAUACUUCAGCAUGGAAUAAUAAGAUAGGGACCCUGGUUCUAUUUUUGUUGGUUU
rnacentral:rRNA from 1 species